rnacentral:rRNA from 1 species
GAUGAACGCUGGCGGCGUGCCUAAUACAUGCAAGUCGAGCGAACAGACGAGGAGCUUGCUCCUCUGACGUUAGCGGCGGACGUGUGAGUAACACGUGGAUAACCUACCUAUAAGUCUGGGAUAACUUCGGGAAACGGGAGCUAAUCGCGGAUAAUAUAUUGAACCGCAUGGUUCGAUAGUGAAAGACGGUUUUGCUGUCACUUAUAGCGGCAUCCGAGCCGGAUUAGAUGGUUGGUAAGUUAAUGGCCUACCAAGGCAACGAUGCGUAGCCGACCUGAGAGAGUGAUCGGCGACACUGGAACUGAGACGCGGUCCAGACUCCUACGGGAGGCAGCAGUAGGGAAUCUGCCGCAAUGGGCGAAAGCCUGACGGAGCAACGCCGCGUGAGUGACGAAGGUCUUCGGAUCGUAAAACUCUGUUAUGAGGGAAGAACAAAUGUGUAAGUAACUAUGCACUGCUUGACGGUACUUAAUCAGAAAGCCACGGCUAACUACGUG